UAUCAACUGAGCGUUCGUUCAGUUUGGAUCCGAAUUUGGAUCGUGGUGGUCGGGCCUAAGUAUGAUAAUCGCUGUGUGGUGGUGUGCACCGGUCAAAUGCUAACAACCUUCAAAGGUUGACAAAUUCUUGCAUAAAUUAAGAAAGUGCUCAGCAGGACGCGCAUUAGUGAGCGGUUAGUUGGAAUUAUUUCACAGAACAGUGGUUAUUUCAUAAGUGAUCGUGAUAAUAAAUACCAAGCAUGGAAAUGUACAAAACCAAGUUGCUGAGUGCGUUAUUGCACCUAGCGUGUAUCGUGGUUAUUGCAAAAAGUGCAACACUGAUUAGCUCUGGAGAGCAAAGUAAACCCAUUCACCAUCUGAACGAGGAACCAAUCAUUGGUGUGUUGGCCCAGGAAAUGUCCUAUUCGCUGGCCAACAAAUAUGGAGACAAUUUUGAGAGCUACAUUGCAGCAUCCUAUGUAAAAUUCAUUGAAGGCGCCGGAGCACGUGUGGUGCCCAUCUGGAUCAAUCAACCGCGAGAUUAUUACGCCGAUAUUCUUCCCAAGUUGAACGGUGUCCUCUUCCCAGGUGGCUCAACUUGGUUCAACCAGACCCAGGGGUACGCCGAUGCUGGUUAUCAUAUAUAUGAGGAGGCCAUAAAAAUCAACGAACAGGGCAGCUAUUUCCCGCUGUGGGGAACUUGUUUGGGAUUUGAGUUACUCACCUAUUUGGCAGCUAAUCGAAGCGAACAUCGUGCUCACUGCAGUUCUAACAAUCAGGGCUUGCAUUUGGAUUUCAAGGCAGACUUCAAGCAGAGUCGGAUGUUCGGAGGAGCACCGGAGGAUGUUUUGAGCAUACUGGCGAAUGAGCCAGUCACUUCCAAUUUUCACCAGUACUGUGUGACAGAAGCAAACCUCACAGCAUACGGAUUGGAUAAUAAUUGGCGAGUGAUGUCCACCAAUAAGGACUGGAAUGGAUUGGAAUUUAUCUCUUCGAUCGAACAUAAAACCUUACCUUUCUAUGGGACCCAGUUUCACCCGGAGAAAAAUCUGUACGAAUGGGUACGCAACAAAAACAUUUCCCAUACACCAAACGCAAUUCGUGCCGCGCAGUACUUUGCCGACUUUUUCGUAAACGAAGCUCGCCUGAGUGAUCAAGAGUUCGCAAGUCAGGACGAUAUUGACAAACACGUCAUCUACAAUUUCCAAAGCACCUUUACUGGUUUGAAGAAAUCUUCGUUCGAGCAGUGCUAUUUGUUUGAAGGUAAUACGAGUUAUUUAGAUAAAAUUCCACCGAUUUAUCCGAACCAUCCGGAUGAUGAUGGGGGUGAUCAGGAUGCCCAGAAAGGCAACUCUGGGACGCUACCAGGUGUGUACUGUGCCAGCGAUAUGGCAAUGAGUGCAUGUUUGGUUGGAGUGGUUCUACUGCGAGAUAUUUUUAACUAGAUGCUACCGAUUUAAUUUUGAUGAAGAAACGCACGCAUUUUUAACGAACAGAAGGAAGUAAAAAUACUAAUCAUGCACGCUGGCUUUAUGUCCAACGGUACGUCGAAGGCAAGAGAAAAAAAUGCAACAAACCGAAAAGCCCCGGCCUUUGUCAAAAAUGACCAGCAUUGUGUGUGAUGUUAUCAGAGAAUAUUUGAAAAAUCAUCAAGAUGUGACGGAACAAUAAAAACCCGUGAGAUUGAAAAACUU